CAAUCCCUUGACAUCCAGUGAAUUUUCCAGAGAUGGAUUAGUGCCUUCGGGAACACUGAGACAGGUGCUGCAUGGCUGUCGUCAGCUCGUGUUGUGAGAUGCUGGGUUAAGUCCCGCAACGAGCGCAACCCUUAUCCUUAGUUGCCAGCACGUAAUGGUGGGAACUCUGGGGAGACUGCCGGUGAUAAACCGGAGGAAGGUGGGGACGACGUCAAGUCAUCAUGGCCCUUACGGGAUGGGCUACACACGUGCUACAAUGGCGCAUACAAAGGGCAGCAAGCCAGCGAUGGUUAGCGAAUCUCAUAAAGUGCGUCGUAGUCCGGAUUGGAGUCUGCAACUCGACUCCAUGAAGUCGGAAUCGCUAGUAAUCGUGGAUCAGAAUGCCACGGUGAAUACGUUCCCGGGCCUUGUACACACCGCCCGUCACACCAUGGGAGUGGGCUGCACCAGAAGUGGUUAGUUUAACCUUCGGGAGAACGAUCACCACGGUGUGGUUCAUGACU
rnacentral:rRNA from 1 species